rnacentral:rRNA from 1 species
CCUACGGGUGGCUGCAGUGGGGAAUAUUGGACAAUGGGCGAAAGCCUGAUCCAGCCAUGCCGCGUGUGUGAAGAAGGCCUUCGGGUUGUAAAGCACUUUCAGUGGGGAAGAAAGCCUUGGGGCUAAUACCCUCGAGGAAGGACAUCACCCACAGAAGAAGCACCGGCUAACCCCGUGCCAGCAGCCGCGGUAAUACGGAGGGUGCGAGCGUUAAUCGGAAUUACUGGGCGUAAAGCGCGCGUAGGCGGUCUGAUAAGCCGGUUGUGAAAGCCCCGGGCUCAACCUGGGAACGGCAUCCGGAACUGUCAGGCUAGAGUGCAGGAGAGGAAGGUAGAAUUCCCGGUGUAGCGGUGAAAUGCGUAGAGAUCGGGAGGAAUACCAGUGGCGAAGGCGGCCUUCUGGACUGACACUGACGCUGAGGUGCGAAAGCGUGGGUAGCAAACAGGAUUAGAUACCCCUGUAGUC